rnacentral:rRNA from 1 species
AGAUAUCCCAUCGCGAAAGCGAGUAAGACCCCUUGAAGACGACGAGGUAGAUAGGUUAGAGGUGGAAGUGCAGUAAUGUAUGGAGCUGACUAAUACUAAUCGGUCGAGGGCUUAUCCAAAA